GCGUGCGAUACAGGGUGACAGCCCCGUACACAAAAAUGCACAUACUGUGAGCUCGAUGAGUAGGGCGGGACACGUGGUAUCCUGUCUGAAUAUGGGGGGACCAUCCUCCAAGGCUAAAUACUCCUGACUGACCGAUAGUGAACCAGUACCGUGAGGGAAAGGCGAAAAGAACCCCGGCGAGGGGAGUGAAAAAGAACCUGAAACCGUGUACGUACAAGCAGUGGGAGCACGCUUAGGCGUGUGACUGCGUACCUUUUGUAUAAUGGGUCAGCGACUUAUAUUCUGUAGCAAGGUUAACCGAAUAGGGGAGCCGAAGGGAAACCGAGUCUUAACUGGGCGUUAAGUUGCAGGGUAUAGACCCGAAACCCGGUGAUCUAGCCAUGGGCAGGUUGAAGGUUGGGUAACACUAACUGGAGGACCGAACCGACUAAUGUUGAAAAAUUAGCGGAUGACUUGUGGCUGGGGGUGAAAGGCCAAUCAAACCGGGAGAUAGCUGGUUCUCCCCGAAAGCUAUUUAGGUAGCGCCUCGUGAAUUCAUCUCCGGGGGUAGAGCACUGUUUCGGCAAGGGGGUCAUCCCGACUUACCAACCCGAUGCAAACUGCGAAUACCGGAGAAUGUUAUCACGGGAGACACACGGCGGGUGCUAACGUCCGUCGUGAAGAGGGAAACAACCCAGACCGCCAGCUAAGGUCCCAAAGUCAUGGUUAAGUGGGAAACGAUGUGGGAAGGCCCAGACAGCCAGGAUGUUGGCUUAGAAGCAGCCAUCAUUUAAAGAAAGCGUAAUAGCUCACUGGUCGAGUCGGCCUGCGCGGAAGAUGUAACGGGGCUAAACCAUGCACCGAAGCUGCGGCAGCGACGCUUAUGCGUUGUUGGGUAGGGGAGCGUUCUGUAAGCCUGUGAAGGUGUGCUGUGAGGUAUGCUGGAGGUAUCAGAAGUGCGAAUGCUGACAUAAGUAACGAUAAAGCGGGUGAAAAGCCCGCUCGCCGGAAGACCAAGGGUUCCUGUCCAACGUUAAUCGGGGCAGGGUGAGUCGACCCCUAAGGCGAGGCCGAAAGGCGUAGUCGAUGGGAAACAGGUUAAUAUUCCUGUACUUGGUGUUACUGCGAAGGGGGGACGGAGAAGGCUAUGUUGGCCGGGCGACGGUUGUCCCGGUUUAAGCGUGUAGGCUGGUUUUCCAGGCAAAUCCGGAAAAUCAAGGCCGAGGCGUGAUGACGAGGCACUACGGUGCUGAAGCAACAAAUGCCCUGCUUCCAGGAAAAGCCUCUAAGCAUCAGGUAACAUCAAAUCGUACCCCAAACCGACACAGGUGGUCAGGUAGAGAAUACCAAGGCGCUUGAGAGAACUCGGGUGAAGGAACUAGGCAAAAUGGUGCCGUAACUUCGGGAGAAGGCACGCUGAUACGUAGGUGAAGCGACUUGCUCGUGGAGCUGAAAUCAGUCGAAGAUACCAGCUGGCUGCAACUGUUUAUUAAAAACACAGCACUGUGCAAACACGAAAGUGGACGUAUACGGUGUGACGCCUGCCCGGUGCCGGAAGGUUAAUUGAUGGGGUUAGCGCAAGCGAAGCUCUUGAUCGAAGCCCCGGUAAACGGCGGCCGUAACUAUAACGGUCCUAAGGUAGCGAAAUUCCUUGUCGGGUAAGUUCCGACCUGCACGAAUGGCGUAAUGAUGGCCAGGCUGUCUCCACCCGAGACUCAGUGAAAUUGAACUCGCUGUGAAGAUGCAGUGUACCCGCGGCAAGACGGAAAGACCCCGUGAACCUUUACUAUAGCUUGACACUGAACAUUGAGCCUUGAUGUGUAGGAUAGGUGGGAGGCUUUGAAGUGUGGACGCCAGUCUGCAUGGAGCCGACCUUGAAAUACCACCCUUUAAUGUUUGAUGUUCUAACGUGGACCCGUGAUCCGGGUUGCGGACAGUGUCUGGUGGGUAGUUUGACUGGGGCGGUCUCCUCCUAAAGAGUAACGGAGGAGCACGAAGGUUGGCUAAUCCUGGUCGGACAUCAGGAGGUUAGUGCAAUGGCAUAAGCCAGCUUGACUGCGAGCGUGACGGCGCGAGCAGGUGCGAAAGCAGGUCAUAGUGAUCCGGUGGUUCUGAAUGGAAGGGCCAUCGCUCAACGGAUAAAAGGUACUCCGGGGAUAACAGGCUGAUACCGCCCAAGAGUUCAUAUCGACGGCGGUGUUUGGCACCUCGAUGUCGGCUCAUCACAUCCUGGGGCUGAAGUAGGUCCCAAGGGUAUGGCUGUUCGCCAUUUAAAGUGGUACGCGAGCUGGGUUUAGAACGUCGUGAGACAGUUCGGUCCCUAUCUGCCGUGGGCGCUGGAGAACUGAGGGGGGCUGCUCCUAGUACGAGAGGACCGGAGUGGACGCAUCACUGGUGUUCGGGUUGUCAUGCCAAUGGCACUGCCCGGUAGCUAAAUGCGGAAGAGAUAAGUGCUGAAAGCAUCUAAGCACGAAACUUGCCCCGAGAUGAGUUCUCCCUGACCCUUUAAGGGUCCUGAAGGAACGUUGAAG
rnacentral:rRNA from 1 species